rnacentral:lncRNA from 1 species
GGCCGCGACGAGGGCCGGGCGAGCCGGCCACCGAGGGCGCACUUACCCCGGUGGCCCUCCCCGACGCGGUAGGUGAGCAGCAACUGGAAGCGCUCGCCGGCGCGGCAGGGCUGCGGGAAAGCCACGCACAGGGCCUGGCCGUAGUGCGAGAAGGGCAGCGUGUGGAAGGGCACAGGCUCCGCGGACGGAUCCUCCGAGCCGGGCCGCUCCCGCCGCAGCGCCACCGCCGUCACCUCGAGGCACGGGUGCGAGUCGAGCCUCAGCUCGGUGGCGUCCCCGGGGGACAGGCAACGCAGCUCCAGGAGUGCCGUGCCGCUCAAGGCCCGGCUCCCGGGGCCCCGGCCCGGCGGCCCGAACUCAACUCGCAGGUCGAGGUGCAAGUGCAGCAUUUCGAAGGUCCGGAAACUGGAGGCCGAGGCCACAUCCGUAGUCUGUGCCGAGUGCAGCGGCCUCCGGGCCGCACCGCCGCCGGUCAAAGGCUCGCCGCUCGCCAUGGCCCCGCAGCGUUGUUCUGUAUCCGCGGCGCAGCCCUCUGGCUUGGUGGGCUGCCGCCUAAGGCCACGCCCCGAGCGCACCGCGCAGCCGCGGCCCGGGGGGGAGGGGGGCGGGCCCCGGGGGGGAAGGUCCGGAGGGGGGCGGGCCCCGGGGGGGAAGGUCCGGAGGAGAGGGGGCCCAGGGGCCCCCACGGCGCCUCUGCAAAUACCUGGGACCAGGCCACACCCCUUCCCUUGCUCUCAGUCGCCCUACUCUUCCAGCUUUAUACAGCCUUAACUUCAUCCUGGGAAUACAAGGAGACUUAUUCCCAUAAUUCUCAUUUCUGCUUCCCUGCAUGGCUCCCACAAUGUCGUGUUUGCUUCUGAAGUAGCCUGUAGAUGGGACUGUAACAGCUCACAGCAGAGAGAUUCAAGAUAGCCCCACGUGACCUUGCUUCCAUUCCUUUCUCCAUCGUGUAGCUGCAACCCACCUCUUCUCCCCUCAUCUGGCUGAAAAUUUGCCAGAGUUUAUGAAAAAUAUGAUUAUAUGGAUUUAAAAGUCACAAUAAAUUCCAAGCAAAAAACAAAAUAAAAAUAAUUGUAAAUAUAAGCAUCAUAGUUAAUUUCUGGAAGACUAAGACAAAGAAAACCAAGAAAGCUGUCAAAAAAAGACAGAUUCUCUACAAAAGAAUGACAGUUAGAAACUGGACCAAGAGCAGAAUUAUCAUUAGCAACAAUAGAAGUCAGAAGGCCUUCUCUUCAAAAUACUGAGAAAAAAAAAAACAGCUGUCAACUUAGAAUUGUAUGCCCAACUAAACUCUUAUUCAAGAAUGAAGGCAAAAGAGACCUUUAGAUAGCAAAAUCUGAGUGUUACCAUUAAUAGACUCUCACUGAAGAAAUUCUGAAGGAAUUACUUCAAGAAGGUGUGAAAGAAAACAAAACAUAAUGAAGUAAUUUAGGCUUAGUGACUUAAAAUGGAGUAAAAAAGCUGUGCAUACAAGAAGACCCUUUUGCCAUCCAUAAAAUCUGGUAAUUGUUAUAAGCAAAACUAAACAGCUAACAAAACCAUUCCCUUUCUGAAAAAAAGCAAGACCUAUUUCCAAGACCUUUGCCCUAACCAACUUUUCCCUUUUUGCUUCCUCUUUUUCCUACUAAAAAUCCUUGCCUGGUAGCGCCAACUUGGGACACAUUUAGGUUGCUACCUGAAUCUGGAUUGCAAUUCUGAGACCCAAAUAAAUGCUUUUAUUGCUUUAUAACUCAGUUUGCUGUUUCUCAGUGGGUGAAGGAAAAUGAUCACAGAUGGAAGGAAUGAGAUGCAAAAAGGAAUCACCAGCAAAAAAAAGUGGGUAAAUCCAAAUGCAUAAUGACUGUGUAAAACAGUAUAUUAAUAACUAUAAUUAAUAAUGUUUACCUGAGUGAAUCAGAUAAAACUAAAAAUACUAGAUUAAAAGUACAUAAGAUUCUGUUUGUUUAAAAAAAAAGAUACAACUUUAAAUGGAUUGUGUGAUGGUUAGGCUAAUGUGUCAACUCAGCAAGGUAAUUAUACCCAGCUGUUUGGUCAGGCAAGCACUGGGCUAAUUGUAAUAUAAAGACAUUUAUAGGCUUCAGUCAUGGGUGAGUUUGCUGCAUAGAUGACGUAUUACAUCUGCAUCGACCAGGGAGAUUGCCUUCAGCAAUGAGUGACGCUGUAUCCCAACAGUUGAAUACCUUAAAAGAGGAAGUGCUUUCAGCAUUCAGGGAGAAUUUCCCAGUUUGUCUUUGGACGGCCAACAUCUCCCAGAACCCAUCAAGGACCUUCAUUAGACUUUCAUUGGAGUCCCUGGUUUGCAGCCUGCCUGCAGAACCUGGACUUGUACACCCCCGUGGUCACAUGAGAGACUCUUAUAAAAUCUCAUACUAUUUACAGAUAUCUCCUGUUGAUUCUGUUUCCCUAGAGAACCCUGACUAAUACAGCUUAUAUGGUAUGUGAAUAUGUUCAAUAAAAUUGUUUUUAAAAGGUACUAUAACAUGAGAGGGG